GUUCUAUAACCUAAUCUGAAACAAAAAUGUCCUCCAUUUCGGCAUUUCCUUUCGAUGAAAACCCUACACAAUUUCCUCCAUCUCUCAAACCCAUGAUACCCAAUCACUCGAUUCACUCCCAACCCUCUUUUUAGUCUCUUAUCUCUGUUUUUUUCUUCAAUCGGCGCUCAUCCUCCACUCCUCCAGUGUCUCUCGAUUCUCACUGGAUUCUGGUGUUCGUCGCAGUGGUGAUGUUCUCGGCAGUGUCCGUGGUGUACUUCAAUCAGUCGUUGAAGCCGAAGAAGAUGAAUCACAGAGAGGAAGUGAAAGAAGAGGUUGCUAAGUAAGUACAGCCGUACAGAUUGACGAGAAUGUUCAGAGGCCUCUAAAUAUUGUCAGGUUCAAAGAGGCAUACGCGGAGAUGGAAGGUGUUUGUUUCGAUUUGUGGUUCAUGGAGCUUGUCUAAGAGCAGGGAAGCCAUCUCCAAGUGAAAGCCAUCAGAAAGAACUUGCAGAUGAGCUUAGAGAGAAGGUACAAGAUGAACUCAAUUUUAUAUCCCCAUGUUUCAACUUCUAGCUUCUUAUAAAUUGAUAUCGAGCUAGUCAUCUAAGAAUUGCAUCAAGCACAUCAACAAGAAUUUGACUUAUACCCUCUACCACGUAUAGCUUGGUUCAAUGAUUCAAUCCGUGAACAAAUGAUGGUUGAGCUACUUGCAAAAAUUUGGAAAGAGAGAAAAUUACUAGCUUUUGGAUUGAAAUUUGGGCCCAUUCUUUGUUACAACUUAUCCUGUAUGCUUGUGUUUCUAGACUUACAGCUUCUUAAUUGCUUUCCGUGCCCGAAUUUGUAUCAAUUGUUUCCUUUCAUUUGUCAAAGCACUCCCUACAGAAUUGAAGCUGUUGUAUGAUUUGGAUAGGUAGCAGAUGAAUUCAUUAAGAGGAGGGCUGACAUUGAAUGGUAAAGAUUCUUGAGAUCUCUGGAUCAGUUAUGAACUUAUGAUUUUGCCAGUUGGUAGAAAAGGCAACUAAGCGACUGAUUAAUCUACGGACCUGUGCCUUAAUAUAUAGUACUACAAUAGAGAUGUGAUUGAUUGUGCUUCUUGUACUUCUCUUAAAUAUAUCAUUCUCCAAGCGAAUGAUGAGCUUCUUUCUCAACUGAUAAUCAGAAAUAAGCCAGCUUCGAUACUAAUUUUCCUUUUUUUUUUUUUUUUGUGUAUGUAUUUCUUUUC